CUGUUGAAUGCGUUGCACAGGCAGUUGCUUUGUAAAGCAACUGCCUCAUUUGAUGGCGGAUUGCAGAGAAGCAGCCACAUUGCCACUCCACUCAGCCACAAUACGCAUGCAGCAGCACUGUGGCUACAGGACGGUCGGGCGCCACGGAGUCAGGUCUUUGCCUAGCUACAGGGAGGAAACAUCCUGAACAGAGCGCCAUCGCUGCACAGUGAUCAACAACAUACAUGGCUGAAGACGAUUUUCAGGUGAAUUGCUGACAGCAACCGUUUGGAUGCUGAGCAUCGAGGGUCCGGUGGAUGGGCCUCCACAUCCCAACUUCGUGGCUGGGAUGGCAACUUUGUUUUCGAGCUACUACAUCUUUAAUAUGGUGUACCAGGAGCAAGCAUCUUGCACACUGGAAUUCAUUCAAAGGUAACUAUGUGCUUGAAGUAGAAUGUGGUUGCUCAUUGUUUUGUAGAGUUAGUUAUUAUGAGUAACAGAGAUUUUAUUUUGCUUUAACUGUACUUACAGUAAAUCCCUUUAAAAUGAUUUUUGAGUUUAUAAAAAGGGUAAGUUAGCAGUUAUUUCCCUAAAUGCUUAAAAUCAUUGCAGAACCGAUUCUAUUUAUAGUAAUGGCGUUCAUUCUGAGAGCUGUUAAACUGUUUUAUUGUUUUUCAAACAUUGACAAUAAAGAUCUAUUUGAUUGUAUAUUUGAAAAGUAGUUCUGAAUUGAGGUAAACUGAGCAUUUAGGUGAAUAAACUACAAACUUGUUCUUUUUUUAUUGCAGUCACAAGAAAUCUGAAAGUUCAUUUUACAGUUAUGCAUGAUUGUCUAUGCCCACCCUGCCCCAACCUUCCCCACUAUGGCUCAAAGCAAACUUACAAAAACGGAUCUGUAUACAUCU